rnacentral:rRNA from 1 species
GUAUAAGAGACAGCAGCCGCCGCGGGAAUACUGAGGGAGCUAGCGUUGUUCGGAAUUACUGGGCGUAAAGCGCGCGUAGGCGGUUACUCAAGUCAGAGGUGAAAGCCCGGGGCUCAACCCCGGAACUGCCUUUGAAACUAGGUGACUAGAAUCUUGGAGAGGUCAGUGGAAUUCCGAGUGUAGAGGUGAAAUUCGUAGAUAUUCGGAGGAACACCAGUGGCGAAGGCGGCUCACUGGUCCAUUACUGACGCUGAGGUGCGAAAGCGUGGGGAGCAAACAGGAUUAGAUACCCCCGUAGUCCCUGUCUCUUAUAC